rnacentral:rRNA from 2 species
AGGGAAUAUUGGGCAAUGGGCGCAAGCCUGACCCAGCAACGCCGCGUGAGGGAAGAAGGUUUUCGGAUUGUAAACCUCUGUCCUUGGUGACGAAACAAAUGACGGUAGCCAAGGAGGAAGCCCCGGCUAACUACGUGCCAGCAGCCGCGGUAAUACGUAGGGGGCGAGCGUUGUCCGGAAUUACUGGGCGUAAAGGGUGCGUAGGCGGUUGAUUAAGUUGGAUGUGAAAUACCCGGGCUUAACCUGGGGGGUGCAUUCAAAACUGGUCGACUAGAGUAUGGGAGAGGGAAGCGGAAUUCCUAGUGUAGCGGUGAAAUGCGUAGAUAUUAGGAGGAACACCAGUGGCGAAGGCGGCUUUCUGGACCAUAACUGACGCUGAAGCACGAAAGCGUGGGGAGCAAACA